AGUACAAGGAACACAUUACACAUGAGUGAAGUAAACAUAAAAAAAAGGAGGAAAAAAUGUACAAAUUAAAAAACAUGAAAACCCCAUUUUGAAGUUCUAAUUAAAUUUAAGUCCUAUUUUCAUCAUAGAUCGAAAUUCUUCAAAAUCUACAAACCCAUCUCCAUUCUUAUCAACCCCUUUAAUCAUACGCUUACAAUCCCUUAAACUACAAUUUUCACAACCAAGAUUAACCAAAACUCUCCUCAAUUCCUUAGGUGAGAUUAAUCCAUUCUUAUCAAUAUCAAACACAAGAAAAGCAUCCAUUAAGUACUCAUCAUGAUCAUGUUCUUUUCCUUUGCCAAAGUUUCCAUCUUCUUUCAUGACAAACAUGAACUCAUCAAUAUCUACAAAUCCAUCUCCAUUGAAGUCCAAAACUCUUAUCAUGCUCUCAGCUUCUUUAGAAGCUGUGCAUUUGUUGUAUCCUAGACAUGAAAGCACUUCACUGAGCUCUGUGGUUGAAAUCUUUCCGUCAUUGUUGGUGUCGAUAAGCUUGAAAAUUUGUCGAAAUUGGCCAGAUUCUUCGUUUUGAAUGAAAGAAGAGAUUGAUAUGUCGGAAAUGGAACAAAGUUUGAUGUUGGGUGAUCUUUUUGGUUGGUUGGAGGGAGAUUUGGUUUUAUGAAGAAAGGUAAAGCAACAAGUGAAAGUUUGUAACAUAGCUGAAUGAGAAAUGAGAAUGAGAAG
rnacentral:lncRNA from 1 species